rnacentral:rRNA from 1 species
UACAGAGGUCCCAAGCGUUGUUCGGAUUCACUGGGCGUAAAGGGUGCGUAGGUGGUGAGGUAAGUCGGAUGUGAAAUCUCCAGGCUCAACCUGGAGGGUCAUUCGAUACUGCCAUGACUAGAGGUAGGUAGGGGAGAAUGGAAUUCCCGGUGGUAGCGGUGAAAUGCGUAGAGACCGGAGGAACACCAGUGGCGAAGGCGGCUCCUGGUCUGCGACUGACGCUGUGGCGCGAAAGCGAGGGAGCAACGGGG